CUGGCGGCAGGCCUAACACAUGCAAGUCGAGCGCUCACUUCGGUGGGAGCGGCGGACGGGUGAGUAACGCGUGGGAAUAUACCCGGUACUAAGGAAUAGCCUUUGGAAACGAAGAGUAAUACCUUACACGCCCUUCGGGGGAAAGAUUUAUCGGUAUCGGAUUAGCCCGCGUAAGAUUAGGUAGUUGGUGGGGUAAUGGCCUACCAAGCCUACGAUCUAUAGCUGGUUUGAGAGGAUGAUCAGCCACACUGGGACUGAGACACGGCCCAGACUCCUACGGGAGGCAGCAGUAGGGGAUCUUAGACAAUGGGGGCAACCCUGAUCUAGCCAUGCCGCGUGUGUGAUGAAGGCCCUAGGGUCGUAAAGCACUUUCGCCAGAGAUGAUAAUGACAGUAUCUGGUAAAGAAACCCCGGCUAACUCCGUGCCAGCAGCCGCGGUAAUACGGAGGGGGUUAGCGUUGUUCGGAAUUACUGGGCGUAAAGCGCACGUAGGUGGAUUAGUAAGUUAGAGGUGAAAUCCCAGGGCUCAACCCUGGAACUGCCUUUAAUACUGCUAGUCUUGAGUUCGAGAGAGGUAAGUGGAAUUCCGAGUGUAGAGGUGAAAUUCGUAGAUAUUCGGAGGAACACCAGUGGCGAAGGCGGCUUACUGGCUCGAUACUGACGCUGAGGUGCGAAAGUGUGGGGAGCAAACAGGAUUAGAUACCCUGGUAGUCCACACCGUAAACGAUGAAUGCCAGACGUCAGCAAGUAUACUUGUUGGUGUCACACCUAACGGAUUAAGCAUUCCGCCUGGGGAGUACGGUCGCAAGAUUAAAACUCAAAGGAAUUGACGGG
rnacentral:rRNA from 1 species